rnacentral:tRNA from 1 species
ACGGGAAUAGCUCAGUUGGUAGAGCACCGGUCUCCAAAACCGGGUGUCGGGAGUUCGAGUCUCUCUUUCCGUGC